CUACGGGCGGCUGCAGUGGGGAAUAUUGCACAAUGGGCGCAAGCCUGAUGCAGCCAUGCCGCGUGUAUGAAGAAGGCCUUCGGGUUGUAAAGUACUUUCAGCGGGGAGGAAGGGAGUAAAGUUAAUACCUUUGCUCAUUGACGUUACCCGCAGAAGAAGCACCGGCUAACUCCGUGGCCAGCAGCCGCGGUAAUACGGAGGGUGCAAGCGGUUAAUCGGAAUUACUGGGCGUAAAGCGCACGCAGGCGGUUUGUUAAGUCAGAUGUGAAAUCCCCGGGCUCAACCUGGGAACUGCAUCUGAUACUGGCAAGCUUGAGUCUCGUAGAGGGGGGUAGAAUUCCAGGUGUAGCGGUGAAAUGCGUAGAGAUCUGGAGGAAUACCGGUGGCGAAGGCGGCCCCCUGGACGAAGACUGACGCUCAGGUGCGAAAGCGUGGGGAGCAAACAGGAUUAGAUACCCCCGUAGUC
rnacentral:rRNA from 1 species